GACGAACGCUGGCGGCGUGCUUAAUACAUGCAAGUCGAGCGAACAGACGAGUAGCUUGUUGCUCUGACUUUAGGGGCGGCCGGGGGAGUAACAAGUCGAUAAUCUCCUUCUACGUCUGGGAUAAUUUCGGGAAACAGGAGCUAAUACCACAUAACAUGCUGAAUCGCUUGGAUGAUGAGUGUGAGACGGUUUUGCUUUCGGUGGUGGAUGGGUUCGCGGCGCAUUAGCUAGUUGGUGAGGUAAUGGCCUACCAAGGCGACGAUGCGUAGCCGACCUGAGAGGGGGAUCGGCCGCACUAGAGGGGAGACGCGGUCCAGACUCCUACGGGAGGCAGCAGUAGGGAAUCUUCCGCAAUGGGCGGAGGCCGGACGGAGCAACGCCGCGGGAGUGGAGAAGGUCUUCGGAUCGUAGAGCUCUGUUAUUGGGAGAGAACAAAUGUGGAAGUAACUGUGCGCGUCUUGACGGUACCUGAACAGAAAGCCACGGCUAACUACGUG
rnacentral:rRNA from 1 species